rnacentral:tRNA from 1 species
GCCCGUCUAGCUCAGUCGGUAGAGCGCCAGCCUUUUAAGCUGGUGGUCGGGGGUUCGAGCCCCCCGGUGGGCG